CCCCCCCCUUCGACCCCCGAAACAUUUUCCAAACCCCUUCCCUCCGCGCCUCUGCUCGUCCACCCCCAAAACACCCCAGCUCUUCAGGUCCAACCACUGGUCUCGGAGUGGAGGCUCCAUCCAGCGUAAAAUAAAACUGAAAUGGAAGAUAUUCAAAAUGAGAAACUUUACAUCUGUUUGAAGAGAGAUACGAUAAAAAGGAAUAAUGUGAUCAGCUUUAUAAAUCUCUGGGAAAAUAAUGAUACACAGUAUUAAUUAUCACAUAAUAUUACUAAACAAAGGUAAUGAAGUAAAUGAUGAUAUGCUUGCGACAGGUGUAUACUAUGAAAAUCGACAUAUUUUUAUUCAGAAUGGAAAAAAUGUCCAGCUUUAAAAAGAACCGUUUAGAAGUGCAUAUAUGUACAAGCAGGUGCUACUUCUGAAAUAUCACAUUUUUAAAAAAGAACAAAAACCAACAAGAAUUUUGUACAGCCACAGUGUUAUUUUGAAGACCAUCUUUUUUCAGACAGAUUUUCAACUUCCCCUCUUUGUACAAGUCUGGCCCCAUACAUAAAAAAAACUAAGACAUGUAAAUAAGGUGUUUCUAUGGAAACAGGGUAAAAAAAAACAUCAAGCAGUUAUUAAUCCAUGAUUAGCCUCCUUUAGAAGCCUUUGGAAUAGCAUCUUCUUUCUAAAGAACGUCUUGGGAAAGAAGUGUGGAUUAUCGGGAUAAUAUCUUCUCUCUGUGGAAUUUCGAACAACCAACAUCCCAGAAUCAACUAAAUCCUACAGGGGCAACGAAGGUUGGUAACGAUGCACUGAAUCAAUUGACGGGCAUAGAAAAGAAAACACUUCAUAACUAUCAGCACUUUCAUUCCACUGAAAUUCAACAAACCAGUUUGGCUCUUUAUCUCACCAUUCUGUUCUAAUGGUUGUUUGUUCACCUCAGUACAUGAAGAGCCCUACAUGUUGCAUUGAGGUUUGGCUUAACAAAUAAAGGUAUACAGGACUCUGUGCUUCGUGUGCCAACCUCCACCAUGGCGUAGACCGAGGGUAGGCUAGCUGUGUCACAGGUGCAGCAUGACUUCUUUCCCCAACCAGACACUACACCAGACCAACAGAGGUUCUGAUCAGUUCGCUGAUUGAUUACAGUCGGCGCUGCUGGUCUCCCGGGUCGGUUUAAGCAAAAGAAAGACAUGCCUGCAGCUCUCUGGGACUGGGGUUUGCAUUCCCAUGCCCUGGAUUAUGACAGCGGGCCCAUACUCAGUCCAAAAGGCAGCACCGGAACAUUAAACAAGCCCCAAGAGCUGGGCCCCCCUCCUCGGGUCAGGGGCCCAGGAUCCAAGCACAGAUGAGUUGGAUGCAAAAUAACUCUCCCCCCUCUCAAGCACUCAUACGCCCCACCACACACUGUGCCCUUCUGCGUCCGUUCUGUUAUGUCACGGACCUUGCCACAAGCUCCUUAGUCCAGCCAAGGAGUCUAGAGUUGGAUGGAUUUACGCCCAGAAAGUGUCGUGUGUUUGUAAUACCGGAAUAUUGUCCUAGGUCUUUGUAAUAUCGGAAUGAUCCUUGAUGUUCCUGAAGUGUACUUCACAACUUCGAUUGUGUAAACACUUGUGAACUUCACAAUCCCAAAACCAGAAAAAAAAUUGGCGGAAAGGUUUGACAAGAAGGUAGAAACGAAGUUUUAUAGUAAAAUCUGAAAAGAAAAAUGUAUAACAACGCAAAUUUGCCCUUUUUUCUUAAUGGCGGGUUGGAGUCGCCGUGGAUGCUGAUCAGAGUUUUCUCUCAGGGAGAUGCAGCUAAUGAAUAAUAUGUACACUAUUUUACCAGAUUUUAGUAGAGUAGAAUAAAGUAUAGUGAUCGACCCUGACACUUCCAAUGCCCAGAGAUUUUUUCUCAGAUCAUCUUACUGUGAGGCUUUGCUGCAGGUCAAAAAGUAUAGGACCCCUCUGCCCUAGAAUCUUGUUUCAAUAUCCCUUUGUUGAAUGACUCCAUAUUUGACCAAUAGGGGCUCACUAUUCAGGAUCACAGAUCCCACCUCGGUUCCAAUAAAUCCAGGAUAUCCCGGGGUUGCUCUUCAGCGGUGAGGUAACUGUCACAACGACGUCUUGGGUCUGUAGAACUAGUAUCAUCAUACUGAGGUCAGUGAGGUUGGCCUCCUCUGGUGCCAUCAGGUCGUACCGCCGUGCCAGGCUGAAGUGAUGGGAUGUUGGAUGCGGAGCAGAGCGAAUUAAAGCAAUCAACCCAGAUGGGGGAGGGACUACCUCCGCGGUGCUUUCCUGUAAUGUCUGACACCUUAAAUUCCCCGUACUUGAACUUUGAACCUCCAGUAGAAAUGGUGAUGUGGAAGGGCUCCUAGUUUGAGAUGUAGCAAAUUAUAAAGGAGGAGAAGCUUAUGAAGAACAAAAAAGAGGAGGAGCAUCUGAAGAACAAAAGGAGGAGGAGCUUAUGAAGAACAAAAGGAGGAGGAGGAAACUAGCGAAGUGGCAUCAAAAGUCUGACAAACACAGUCAACAUCCUACUGGAGAUGUCAGGCAGAGACAGGUGCUAUUUAUUCGCCCUUCUUCUCAGCCCAAAACCCUUCCUUUGGCUCCUGUGGAUCAGCCAUUCUGAAAUGAGGACUUGUAAAUGCAAAAAUGUAUGUUUCACUGGUAAUGGUAGUAUUUGAAUGAGUAUCAUCAUAGUGUUUUGGAUACCUUUCUUUUCCACCACAGGCCAUGACCAUUUUCAAACCCCUCUUUUUCUGUUUAUUGAGUCUAUUUUGAAGAAAAACAAUGUCCUCCUUCAACCUUUUAUCAGCCUAAGGAACAUAGGGACUGAAGAUCAGAAUGGCAACUGACCACACAGAUGACAUGACCUGAGUUGUCCCCCAGCUGCAGUCUAUACACAUCAACACUCCUCCGUCAUAGCAACGGCAUACAUCGACCCAGGUGGGUACCUCAUGGUCAAGUGCUUGGACCCCUACAAAUAUUUGGAGAGUUUUAUAUUCUGCAGAGAGUCUGUAUUUUUGUAUGGCGGGUGGGUGACCUCACUAUACCGUUUUGAACAGCGUCAAGCCAUACACCAUCUAACAGACGUUUCACCAGGCUAGUCCCGUUGUCAACCAAGAGAAGCGGGAUUUUCACAACACAAGGGUUUUCACAAGGACAGAUCUUCUACACAGACACUUGAGGUACUUUUAGCACCCAAUUCCUCAACUAUUUCUCUGUUGUUUAUUAGUGCAUUACUUCCAGCACCCUAAUCGUUGUGGAUUUCUCCGGUGUGUAUUUGACCUCUGGUUAACAGUCAUGAACUGCAUGGGGGACAAGGGGCCAAAAGUAAUGCACUACUGAGAGAAGAUUUCAGACCACCUCCCUUUAUAGGCCUUUCAAAGCGGAUGUGUGCUCCCACUCUCCAGCCAAACGUCAUUUCUAAUUCAUUUUGUAACAGUGGAACAUCUGCCAUCUCCCAAGUGUAGAGAAAUGUGUUGGGAUGAAUACUAACAAAAUACUUUUUUCUUUUUUUUUUCUUUAAACCCGUCGUAUUGGCUGCAAAGAGACCUGUCACAAAAAUUGCCAUGUCAGUACUUCCAAGUCAUUUUGAGUAACAAAACAAUAUGACAACUGACACAGUAUACAAACACGAUUUGUUACUCUGUCCAAAAGUUGAUAUGUUCAAUGGAAAUGUGCCAAAAAAUGACAUUUAGAUUCUAUUUAUAGUCUUAGUGUUGAGCAUCCCUUCUGAUGAUUCAUAUGUCAGACCGUUUCUCGCUGGGAUAAGAUUGUGACUUCAAUAUACAAGAUUCUCUGUACUAACGUCUGACAGAGGAGUCACUUGAGGUGCAUUUCUACUUUUGCUUCUCCAAAUAGUUUUUUCUUUGUGUGAUCAAAAUGUGCCAACACAAGAAUUGAAAAUGUUGGCGUGCAUUUGAAUUCAUUCAGCCAUUUAUUUUGACGUGCAUUAUGUGUUGAACGCUGCUUUCACUCUUUAUUUUGUUGCUUUGCUCUAGUUGUAAUGUUAUUUUAUAUCGUAAUGAGAUGCUGUGUUGUCUCUCGAUGUUAUGAAAAUGGAAUGUUUAUGCAAGAUUGUCACAGCGGGAGAGUUCAUUGUGACAAGACAUUGUCACGCACCGCUUUAACAAUGUUAGUGUUGUUGUUUUAAAGAAAAAAACUGAAAUAAAUAAAUUGAAUAUCA